rnacentral:lncRNA from 1 species
UCUUUCGACCCGAUCGGCAAUACUAACUUCCAAACCGGGUCUCCAGGGGAGAAUUGUUUGACUUUGACCUUCUUAUCGUACCACGUGGCUACUUUCUUCUUGUUUUCCUCAAUGCUUAUCAAAGCUCUCAACCGCUGGCCAGCCAAGUCAUCGAGUUCCCUCUUCAUGAGUGACGAGUAGUCAUCGGCCGUUAGCUGGUCUUGGAGCGAAAUGCGCCUUGACACCGCCCU